rnacentral:tRNA from 1 species
GUCAGGAUGGCCGAGUUGUCUAAGGCGCCAGACUCAAGAACCGAGGUUCUUCGCCGACAUGAGGUGUUGAGUAUUCUGGUCUCCGAAUGGAGGCGUGGGUUCGAAUCCCACUUCUGACA